rnacentral:snoRNA from 12 species
AAGACUAUACUUUCAGGGAUCAUUUCUAUAGUACGUUACUAGAGAAGUUCCUCUGAUCGUGUAGGGCACCCGAAACCACGAGGAGGAGGCACAGCGUUCUCUCCUGAGCGUGAAGCCAGCUCUAGGUGUUGCUUUUGCAACUGCCUUUUGCUAUUGAUGAUCGUUCUUCUCUUCCUUUGGGGGAGAAGAGGGAGAGAACGCAAUCUGAGUGGU